rnacentral:rRNA from 1 species
UACGUAGGGGGCGAGCGUUGUCCGGAAUCACUGGGCGUAAAGGGCGCGUAGGCGGUAUAUUAAGUCAGGUGUGAAAGUUUUCGGCUCAACCGGAAAAGUGCACUUGAAACUAAUAGACUUGAGUACUGGAGAGGUAAGCGGAAUUCCUAGUGUAGCGGUGAAAUGCGUAGAUAUUAGGAGGAACACCGGUGGCGAAGGCGGCUUACUGGACAGAGACUGACGCUGAGGCGCGAAAGCGUGGGGAGCAAACAGGAUUAGAUACCCUGGUAGUCCACGCCGUAAACGAUGAGUAUUAGGUGUUGGUGAGAAUCAGUGCCGGAGUUAACACAAUAAAUACUCCGCCUGGGGAGUACGGUCGCAAGACUGAAACUCAAAGAAAUUGACGG